GUCAUUAUCACCCCUCAAGCCCGGCUUGGCCUUGGGCCCGCGUCGUGACCAGACCGGCCCGAAAGAUAAUGGCGGCGUCGAGUGAUGGACCCCCCAGUGCAGCGAGCUCCGGCACGCGCUGGUUCGGGGGUCGCUCGGCCCGGCCCAACCAACACCUCAAGGUUGACCUCGGAUUAGGUAGGAAUACCCGCUGAACUUAA
rnacentral:misc_RNA from 1 species